UGACUNGAGUGCAGAAGGGGAGAGUGGAAUNCCAUGUGUAGCGGUGAAAUGCGUAGAUAUAUGGAGGANCACCAGUGGCGAAAGCGGCUCUCUGGUCUGUCACUGACGCUGAGGCUCGAAAGCGUGGGUAGCGAACAGGAUUAGAUACCCUGGUAGUNCACGCCGUAAACGAUGAGUGCUAGGUGUUAGGCCCUUUCCGGGGCUUAGUGCCGGAGCUAACGCAAUAAGCACUCCGCCUGGGGAGUACGACCGCAAGGUUGAAACUCAAAGGAAUUGACGGGGGCCCGCACAAGCGGUGGAGCAUGUGGUUUAAUUCGAAGCAACGCGAAGAACCUUACCAGGUCUUGACAUCCCGAUGCUAUUCUUAGAGAUAGGAAGUUACUUCGGUACAUCGGAGACAGGUGGUGCAUGGUUGUCGUCAGCUCGUGUCGUGAGAUGUUGGGUUAAGUCCCGCAACGAGCGCAACCCUUAUUGUUAGUUGCCAUCAUUAAGUUGGGCACUCUAGCGAGACUGCCGGUAAUAAACCGGAGGAAGGUGGGGAUGACGUCAAAUCAUCAUGCCCCUUAUGACCUGGGCUACACACGUGCUACAAUGGUCGGUACAACGAGUUGCGAGCCGGUGACGGCAAGCUAAUCUCUGAAAGCCGAUCUCAGUUCGGAUUGGAGGCUGCAACUCGCCUCCAUGAAGUCGGAAUCGCUAGUAAUCGCGGAUCAGCACGCCGCGGUGAAUACGUUCCCGGGCCUUGUACACACCGCCCGUCACACCACGAGAGUUUGUAACACCCGAAGUCGGUGAGGUAACCUUUUAGGGGCCAGCCG
rnacentral:rRNA from 1 species